UGCCAGCAGCCGCGGUAAUACGGAGGGGGUUAGCGUUGUUCGGAAUUACUGGGCGUAAAGAGCAUGUAGGCGGAUGAAAUUAGUCAGAGGUGAAAGCCCCGAGCUCAACCCCGGAAGUGCAUUGGAUACUGGCAGUCUUGAGUAUGGGAGAGGAAAGUGGAAUUCCGAGUGUAGGGGUGAAAUCCGUAGAUAUUCGGAGGAACACCAGUGGCGAAGGCGGCUUUCUGGACCGAUACUGACGCUGAGACGCGAAAGCGUGGGGAGCAAACAGGAUUAGAUA
rnacentral:rRNA from 1 species